rnacentral:rRNA from 1 species
UACGUAGGGUGCGAGCGUUAAUCGGAAUUACUGGCGUAAAGAGCUCGUAGGCGGUCUGUCGCGUCUGCUGUGAAACUCAGGGCUUAACCCUGAGCUUGCAGUGGGUACGGGCAGACUAGAGUGCGGUAGGGGAGACUGGAAUUCCUGGUGUAGCGGUGAAAUGCGCAGAUAUCAGGAGGAACACCGGUGGCGAAGGCGGGUCUCUGGGCCGUAACUGACGCUGGAGGAGCGAAAGCGUGGGGAGCGAACAGG